rnacentral:rRNA from 1 species
AUUGAACGCUGGCGGCAUGCUUUACACAUGCAAGUCGAACGGUAACAGGCCGCAAGGUGCUGACGAGUGGCGAACGGGUGAGUAAUGCAUCGGAACGUGCCCAGUCGUGGGGGAUAACGCAGCGAAAGCUGUGCUAAUACCGCAUACGCUCUAUGGAUGAAAGCGGGGGACCGUACGGCCUCGCGCGAUUGGAGCGGCCGAUGUCAGAUUAGGUAGUUGGUGGGGUAAAGGCUCACCAAGCCAACGAUCUGUAGCUGGUCUGAGAGGACGACCAGCAGCACUGGGACUGGGACACGGCCCAGACUCCUACGGGAGGCAGCAGUGGGGAAUGUUGGACAAUGGGCGCAAGCCUGAUCCAGCAAUGCCGCGUGCAGGAAGAAGGCCUUCGGGUUGUAAACUGCUUUUGUACGGAACGAAACGGUCUGGGUUAAUACCCUGGGCUAAUGACGGUACCGUAAGAAUAAGCACCGGCUAACUACGUGCCAGCCGCCGCGGUAAUAC